CCUACGGGAGGCAGCAGUGAGGAAUAUUGGGCAAUGGCCGAGAGGCUGAACGAGCAAAGCCGCGUGAGGGAAGACGGCCCUACGGGUUGUAAACCUCUUUUGUCGGGGAGCAAAGCGAACCACGUGUGGUUCAUUGAGAGUACCCGACGAAAAAGCAUCGGCUAACUCCGUGCCAGCAGCCGCGGUAAUACGGGGGAUGAGAGCGUUAUCCGGAUUUAUUGGGUUGAAAGGGUGCGCAGGGGGAGUUGCAUGUCAGCGGUAAAAUGGCGGGGCCAAACCCCGCACUGCCGUUGAAACUGCAUCCCUUGAGUGCGCGAGAGGUAUGCGGAAUGCGUGGUGUAGCGGUGAAAUGCACAGAUAUCACGCAGAACUCCGAGUGCGAAGGCAGCAUACCGGCGCGCAACUGACGCUCAUGCACGAAAGCGUGGGUAUCGAACAGGAUUAGAUACCCUUGUAGUC
rnacentral:rRNA from 1 species